UGUGUUCCAAAUAGGUAAAUCAGAGAUAAUAAUCUCUGAGGUAAAUAUGCGAGCUCACGUACUCGCUCUCGGAAGUGACGUCAGGAGAGUGUUGUUCCAUAUAUAGUCGAGUGCGAGCACGAGAACGAGUGCGCAUAUCGAGUGUUUUUGAAUGCAUGCUCGUUGCAUACUCUCGUAACCAUUGUUUGUUUACGUUUACGUCUGCAAUAUUUUCGAAAACAAUGGCAAAUGAACAAUGCACGUUUCAUUGGGCUGAUGAAGAUGUGCUGAAGAUGAUUGGCUUGCGACGUGAACACGCCGACCUGUUCACAGGCAAGAAAGGUUCUGCUGUGCGUGGGUGGGCUUUUAUAGCUACGCAGUUGACAAAUGGGGCGACAGGAAAACAAUGCAAAAAGCGGUAUGUAUGAGGAAUACACUACACACACCUCCAACCGGUAUGGCAUGUGUACUGUAGCAGCUAUUGCAUGUCUGCCCACAGAUGGGAAAACCUAAUGAAAAAAUACAAGGAGAUCCGCACACCACCAACAGGCAGCUCAACCGAAGACAGGAUCCCAACAGACUGGCCCUUUUAUGACACUAUACAUGCACUCAUGGCCUCGAAACAUAUUAUGUCUCCACCUCUAGUAAUUGACACAUCAGCUACACAGCCAUCUCCAACAUCACCAUCACCAUUACCACCAACACUUAAUAGCCCUGGCUCCAGCUCCAUUGUCACCUGUCCAUCGCCAGCGCUGGCGAAGAGGAAGCGCAAGACAACCGAUGACUUUAUGGACUAUCUACGAGAAAUGGAUAGAAGGGAAGAACAACGCCACAAAGAAAUAAUGGGGGUGUUCAGAGAACUCAUUGAUUUAUUAAAAGAACAGUGAAAUAAUUGUAAUUUAUUUAUUGUAAUAAAUGGAUUUAUCAUAAUUACCAA